UACGUAGGGUGCGAGCGUUGUCCGGAAUUAUUGGGCGUAAAGAGCUCGUAGGCGGUGUGUCGCGUCGGCCGUGAAAACCUGCAGCUUAACUGUGGGCGUGCGGUCGAUACGGGCAUCACUGGAGUUCGGCAGGGGAGACUGGAAUUCCUGGUGUAGCGGUGAAAUGCGCAGAUAUCAGGAGGAACACCGGUGGCGAAGGCGGGUUGCUGGGCUGAUACUGACGCUGAGGCGCGAAAGCCAGGGGAGCGAACGGG
rnacentral:rRNA from 1 species